CUUGGUUCUCAAUUGCAGAAAAAAUGAGGACUGUUUAUUGUAGUACAUUCAUCCAUUGGUUGUGAAAGAUUUUGAGUGCUGUGAAUUUACUCCACCUUGAUUCCUUACAUUUUCAUAACCGACCCUACUUUGAAUGCUUGUUUUGAUUGGCACUUUGGGACUAAAAAUGACUGAAGUGGAAACUUCUGUUGGGUGGCACGCUUUGUUGUUGGUAGUUAUAGUUUGUCUUCUCCGACAACACGAACUUGUGCUCUUUCCCUUUCAUCCUUCAUUCCUUCUCAUCCCAAGUUACAGGUGUAAGAGUGGGACGCGAGGAAGUAGGAGAUCUGAUGCCAGUAUACUUCAUUGCAUUUUCUCAAUAGUUACUCGCUUACUCUUUGCCCCAUUAUAUAUGCUCUAAGUGGCUCUCCCAUUUGUGGAGAAUAUGAUUGUUCAACCCAGUAUAGUGAAAGUCACUAGCUUUCUCUGAUGUGGUAUUUGCCAGCUGUAUGAACAAAUUAUUAGUUGACACUUUCCGGAAAGUUUACGCUGUUGCAGUAGAUAGUUGAUACUAUACUAGUACGUGCGUUUUUAUGUGUUUUCAGGUUCGAAAAUCCGAUGCAAAUAUGUAUUGCUUAUGGUGCAAUUCACACAGUGUGAUUGCACCGAGCCGCUGAGGUCACAACAGCACAAAGUGUGACUGUUACAGUAAUGCUCAGUGCAUAAAUCAGAGAUCAAUUCAUGUGAAGGCAAUUAGUUUAUGCAUGAUGUUGAAAGGUUUAGAAAAGAUUUGGAUAUGUUUGCCAAAUUUGUGCUAAAUAGUGACCAUUGUGAUUUCUUAUUUACACUGCCAGGCUUAAUCAUAAGGUGUUUGAGUCUAUGACCCAUCAGCCAAGGACCCAGAUGCUUGUUGCAUACAUGAAAACCAAAAGGUUCACAGAAGAAAGAUUGGCGUGUAAAAACUUGCAGUUUGCCAUACAUGUAAUUUUAAUUGUGGCAUGGUAUCUUUAUUAUGGGAGUAAUGAAUGAAUCUUGUUCAUACGAUUGGAAGGAAAGGGUUUUCCAAAUUCAAAAACUAGCUAGGGGAGUUCCUAUUAGAUCUUGAAGAAAACCGUAGACUGUAAAUAGAAGAAUUUAAGUUUGGCAAAUAGUAAUCGGGAAUAUAGUCUAAACAGUAUCUGACUUUUUGGAGAAUAUAAAAACAGUAUUUCACGUUCUUAUUGCAACCGAAGAUCGGUACCUAAAACUGUUGGCUCUGUUUAAAAAACUGAUGGUAAACAUAUUUUUAGUGAGAACAUGCACCUUAAGUCAAAUGCCAAAUACAAUGUAAUCACCAAACUUCAUGUUACAGUUUCUUCUCAUACCUUAUCAAAAGACCUAUUUGAAAUGCCAAGUUCCUUUUUUCUUCUUCUUCUUCUUCUUCUGCAUUAGACGUAUGUUUUUCCUACAAAGUAGGCUUUACAUAAACAAGUAGCCAAGCAGGCAAAUGGACGAGGAAGAUUAAGACUCACCAACCCAUUAUAUUUCUCUUUCUCUUUGGCCAGGCGACGAUUCUGAUUUCUGCAAUACAUAGAAGAAACACCACCCACCACCCGCCCCCGCCCCCCCCCCCCCCCCCGAAUACGCUUGUUUCAAUUCUGGCAUAUGAUAAACACAAAACAUGUCAAAGACACUCUAUCGAAAAACAUUUCAGACACAAAAUAAUCAGCUGCCUUUUAAUAAACUUCUCAAGUGUUAACAUUUCUCGUGGUUGGUUACAGCCAACCUAAAUGUGCCAAAAUUUCAAGUCCAAUUAGCUAUGAAAUUGUAAGUGCUCUUACUCUAAUCUAAUCAAAGAGCAUAGAUCUUUAUUUGAUUUUUAGGAAGUUCGAAUUCCAUAAGAAUUCCUCAGUGCGUUACAACCAAACAAGAUGAUGGCUUUGGUACUUUGGUCAUUUGGUGGUUUUGGAUUAGUCCACUUGUUUAUAGCCCCUUAGUUAUUAGCUAGACUUCGGUAAUUGACUUCAAAAUUAAACCAACUAAUAAACUUCGAUCACUACAUGCUGUCAGAUUGAUUAGCAACUAAUAGCGGAUG
rnacentral:lncRNA from 1 species